rnacentral:rRNA from 1 species
UACGUAGGGCGCAAGCGUUGUCCGGAAUUAUUGGGCGUAAAGAGCUCGUAGGCGGUUUGUCGCGUCUGCUGUGAAAACUCGAGGCUCAACCUCGGGCUUGCAGUGGGUACGGGCGAGACUAGAGUGCGGUAGGGGUGACUGGAAUUCCUGGUGUAGCGGUGGAAUGCGCAGAUAUCUGGAGGAACACCGGUGGCGAAGGCGGCAUCCUGGACCGAUACUGACGGCUGAGGAGCGAAAGCCAGGGGAGCAAACGGG